UACGGAGGGGGCUAGCGUUGUUCGGAAUUACUGGGCGUAAAGCGCGCGUAGGCGGACCUGCAAGUCGGGGGUGAAAGCCCGAGGCUCAACCUCGGAACUGCCUUCGAUACUGCGGGUCUCGAGUCCGGGAGAGGUGAGUGGAAUUCCUAGUGUAGAGGUGAAAUUCGUAGAUAUUAGGAAGAACACCAAUUGCGAAGGCAGCUCGCUGGGACGUUACUGACGCUGAGACGCGAAAGCGUGGGGAGCAAACAGGGAU
rnacentral:rRNA from 1 species